AUGAGUUGGAAAGAGGACACUGAGGCAGAUAUUGUCCAAAAUAACAUGGAUUCACAGGAGGACACAGCAGACCUGGGAAGAGAGAGUGCAACCGAGGAUAGUGGUCUAAAUAACAUUGCCCCAGAGGAUACCAGAGUGAACCUGGAAGGAACUGAAACAAGUGAGAAUGCACCAUUGGGAGAUGCUGGUCCAAAUGUUUACAGGACAGCACAAAAGGUGCGUAAACAGUUUUCCAUCACUCUUAACAGAAAGGAAUGGAACAAAAUAAAACCUUUGAAAUAUCAGAAUUCUUUUAAAUAUCAGAACAUAAAAGCUGCCCACAGCAGGAAAACAAAAUCUCCAUAUUUACACAUUGUGGCAAUUUGCACAUUCCCAUCAUGCCAGGCAAAAUACAAAUUCAAACUGAAAACCAAGCCUGAAAGAAUGUGCAAAAUGGUAAAGACGCUGGUCAGUCAACAUGGACAAAUAAAACACAGAGUGGGUGAGAAAAGGUUUAGGCCUGCAACAAACCUCAAAAGAGGAGCACUUGCAAGAGCAAUUACACGUGGACCUAGUCAUUAUUUCUACUCAACACUCAAAACCACACCCAAAGAAGAACUUUUGUGUGGAAAUACGUCCAGCUGUCUCAACAGGAAUGUGCUGAAGGUAAUCCGCUCAGAAAUUAGGAAGAACAAACUACUCCACACUGAUGUGUUAAUGGAAAUACAUCUCAUGCAAGGAAUACUAAGAGGAUGUGACACCAGAUUUUUUAAAUUACCAGGAUACAUACAGCUUUUCUGCAUGGACCCCUUUGGUGUUCAUAUGUACACUGAGCUUGGAAUCAGUAUUCUUGUCGACCAUUUACGCAGUAGGCUUCCUGUGUCCCUUUAUCUGGAUGCCACUGGAGGAGUGGUCUCAAAAAUGGCAGAUCAGCCAAAGCGAUUCCUAUACUACUCACUCACACUUCCAGGAAGGGGUCGGGAUGCUCCCCCUUUACCAAUCUGUGAAAUGCUAUCAAAUGAGCAUUCGGUACCUCCAAUCACAUAUUGGCUCAUGCAAUUUACAUUGCAUUUGUCCAAAUACACACAAAUGCACUACACCAGGUUGAGACGGACUAUAGCUGGGCUCUCAUGCAAAGUGUUCUGCUCGCUUAUAACAGAGAGCACAUCACUACCUACCUAG
ensembl:lncRNA